rnacentral:rRNA from 1 species
GAUGAACGCUGGCGGCGUGCCUAGUACAUGCAAGUCGAGCGAACGGACGAGAAGCUUGCUUUUCUGAUGUUAGCGGCGGACGGGUGAGUAACACGUGGAUAACCUACUUAUAAGACUGGGAUAACUUCGGGAAACCGGAGCUAAUACUGGAUAAUAUUUUGAACCGCAUGGUUCAAAAGUGAAAGACGGUCUUGCUGUCACUUAUAGAUGGAUCCGCGCUGCAUUAGCUAGUUGGUAAGGUAACGGCUUACCAAGGCAACGAUGCAUAGCCGACCUGAGAGGGUGAUCAGCCACACUGGAACUGAGACACGGUCCAGACUCCUACGGGAGGCAGCAGUAGGGAAUCUUCCGCAAUGGGCGAAAGCCUGACGGAGCAACGCCGCGUGAGUGAUGAAGGUCUUCGGAUCGUAAAACUCUGUUAUUAGGAAAGAACAGAUGUAUAAGUAACUGUGCACAUCUUGACGGUACCUAAUCAGAAAGCCACGGCUAACUACGUG